AUAGUAAAUUUAAUGUAUUGUAGAUAUACCAAACAGGAGGAGAGACAAUACAAGAGAAACUUUUGAACCAGAUGCAAGCAAGGAAUAUGAAGCAUUAUUCUUUUGCACAAAACUGAACGCAAGACAAGAAAGAAUAAACAAUUGGGGUAUGAGGGGAAUUACCCACGACAGCAAUGGGAGAGAAGGGAAAGAUGCCUGAUAGGGCCCACUAAUGAUGGGGUAGAAAAUGAUUGUUUUGGUAUUGGUGUAGGUAGGUUUUAUUUUGGUUAAAGGCUGCUGAAACUUUUAGAGGGAGAGGUUGUCAGCCUUCUCGAAGGAGCUAGAUUUGUUAUCUUGUUUUCAGUAUUUGUUCGUUCUGUGAUUACUCUUUGGCUUGUUUUGUGAACAUUCUCUUUGAAUAUCAAUAUAUAUCUACAGAGUGCUGCCUCUUUUUCUAUC